rnacentral:rRNA from 1 species
UGGGGAAUAUUGGACAAUGGGCGCAAGCCUGAUCCAGCCAUGCCGCGUGAGUGAUGAAGGCCCUAGGGUUGUAAAGCUCUUUCACCGGUGAAGAUAAUGACGGUAACCGGAGAAGAAGCCCCGGCUAACUCCGUGCCAGCAGCCGCGGUAAUACGAAGGGGGCUAGCGUUGUUCGGAUUUACUGGGCGUAAAGCGCACGUAGGCGGACUAUUAAGUCAGGGGUGAAAUCCCGGGGCUCAUCCCCGGAACUGCCGUUGAUACUGGUAGUCUUGAGUUCGGGAGAGGUGAGUGGAAUUCCGAGUGUAGAGGUGAAAUUCGUAGAUAUUCGGAGGAACACCAGUGGCGAAGGCGGCUCACUGGCUCGAUACUGACGCUGAGGUGCGAAAGCGUGGGGAGCAAACAGG